rnacentral:rRNA from 1 species
AGAGUUUGAUCAUGGCUCAGAACGAACGCUGGCGGCGUGCCUCAUACAUGCAAGUCGAACGAGAAAGCGGUUUUCGGAUCGUGAGUAGAGUGGCGAACGGGUGAGUAACGCGUGGGUAAUCUGCCCUCGAGCGGGGGACAACAUUCCUAACGGGAUGCUAAUACCGCAUAAUAUCACAUUGUCGCAUGGCGAUGUGAUCAAAGAUGGCCUCUUCUUGAAAGCUAUCACUUGAGGAUGAACCCGCGUACCAUUAGCUUGUUGGUGAGGUAACGGCUCACCAAGGCUACGAUGGUUAGCCGGCCUUAGAGGGUGUCCGGCCACACUGGGACUGAGAUACGGCCCAGACUCCUACGGGAGGCAGCAGUAGGGAAUCUUGCGCAAUGGGGGAAACCCUGACGCAGCAACGCCGCGUGGGUGAUGAAGCUCUUCGGAGCGUAAAGCCCUGUCAGGAGGGAAGAAUUGGUCACCGACCUAACACGUCGGAGACGUGACGGUACCUCCAGAGGAAGCUCCGGCUAACUCCGUGCCAGCAGCCGCGGUAAUACGGGGGGAGCGAGCGUUGUUCGGAAUUACUGGGCGUAAAGGGCGCGUAGGCGGAUGCGGAAGUCAAGCGUGAAAACUCCCGGCUCAACCGGGAGCCUGCGCCUGAAACUCCGCAUCUUGAGUACAGAAGAGGAGAGUGGAAUUCCUGGUGUAGCGGUGAAAUGCGUAGAUAUCAGGAAGAACAUCGGUGGCGAAGGCGGCUCUCUGGUCUGAUACUGCGCUGANNNNNGAAAGCGUGGGGAGCAAACAGGAUUAGAUACCCUAGUAGUCC